CGGUGGGGCGUGCCUAUACUGCAAGUCGAACGAACUCUGGUAUUGAUUGGUGCUUGCAUCAUGAUUUACAUUUGAGUGAGUGGCGAACUGGUGAGUAACACGUGGGAAACCUGCCCAGAAGCGGGGGAUAACACCUGGAAACAGAUGCUAAUACCGCAUAACAACUUGGACCGCAUGGUCCGAGUUUGAAAGAUGGCUUCGGCUAUCACUUUUGGAUGGUCCCGCGGCGUAUUAGCUAGAUGGUGAGGUAACGGCUCACCAUGGCAAUGAUACGUAGCCGACCUGAGAGGGUAAUCGGCCACAUUGGGACUGAGACACGGCCCAAACUCCUACGGGAGGCAGCAGUAGGGAAUCUUCCACAAUGGACGAAAGUCUGAUGGAGCAACGCCGCGUGAGUGAAGAAGGGUUUCGGCUCGUAAAACUCUGUUGUUAAAGAAGAACAUAUCUGAGAGUAACUGUUCAGGUAUUGACGGUAUUUAACCAGAAAGCCACGGCUAACUACGUGCCAGCAGCCGCGGUAAUACGUAGGUGGCAAGCGUUGUCCGGAUUUAUUGGGCGUAAAGCGAGCGCAGGCGGUUUUUUAAGUCUGAUGUGAAAGCCUUCGGCUCAACCGAAGAAGUGCAUCGGAAACUGGGAAACUUGAGUGCAGAAGAGGACAGUGGAACUCCAUGUGUAGCGGUGAAAUGCGUAGAUAUAUGGAAGAACACCAGUGGCGAAGGCGGCUGUCUGGUCUGUAACUGACGCUGAGGCUCGAAAGUAUGGGUAGCAAACAGGAUUAGAUACCCUGGUAGUCCAUACCGUAAACGAUGAAUGCUAAGUGUUGGGAGGGUUUCCGCCCUUCAGUGCUGCAGCUAACGCAUUAAGCAUUCCGCCUGGGGGAGUACGGCCGCAAGGCUGAAACUCAAAGGAAUUGACGGGGGCCCGCACAAGCGGUGGAGCAUGUGGUUUAAUUCGAAGCUACGCGAAGAACCUUACCAGGUCUUGACAUACUAUGCAAAUCUAAGAGAUUAGACGUUCCCUUCGGGGACAUGGAUACAGGUGGGUGCAUGGUUGUCGUCAGCUCGUGUCGUGAAAAUGUUUGGGUUAAGUCCCGCAACGAG
rnacentral:rRNA from 2 species